CGGACGGGUGAGUAAUGUCUGGGAAACGUGCCUGAUGGAGGGGGAUAACUACUGGAAACGGUAGCUAAUACCGCAUAACGUCGCAAGACCAAAGAGGGGGACCUUAGGGCCUCUUGCCAUCGGAUGUGCCCAGAUGGGAUUAGCUAGUAGGUGGGGUAACGGCUCACCUAGGCGACGAUCCCUAGCUGGUCUGAGAGGAUGACCAGCCACACUGGAACUGAGACACGGUCCAG
rnacentral:rRNA from 1 species